GACUUUAACGCUCCAGUGGCCUAGUGGUUAGAGCGUCCGCCUAGUAUGCGGGAUGUCAUUGGAUCGAUUUCCGGCUGAGUCA